rnacentral:misc_RNA from 1 species
ACAUUAACAGUCAUCGUCCUGUACAGGUGACAUACAGGAGACCCACAGUACGAUCAGAAUCAACUAUGGGAGCAGACAGGUCACAGUCAUGACCUCACUGAGAAAUCAAGAUACACACUUAUCUUCUGCCAAUCUGAACACGCCAACUGACGGUACCAGACAAACCACAACCAACAUCACAAGGUUGUCAUGCUGACAACAAACCACCUCCAUGUUAUCCUCAUGUCGCACCGCACACGUGUGGCACUACCGACAGCCUUCAAGUUGAUCACCAACCACUCCAACGACGCAGUUCCACCGCUCUCCAAUGUGAAAGUGCGCACCCUGUGAACUACAGCACCCUCGUAUCUACUUCAAACUUCUAACACGACCUAACACAGAGACUAAAAGUACUGCCCUUUUCACUUCACAUCAGCCAUCCCAGCGGCUACUUCCUCUGUGCACUCUCGACAAAGAACGCCAGACAAUGAAAGUCUCUGCAGUUCCACCGCAUGCCACCACUGCAUCUUUUCCGUUCUUCCAAGAGCUGUUGCGCAUGAAUACGAACACCUGCAAGUUGUACCGACACUACUACUUGUACUUGUAUCUCCGCUUCCGUUCAUGUACUUCCGCACCUAAUGAGCCCCUCAAAGAUGAAACUGCAGCGGAAGACUCAGCUACAGCAAAACUCCUACUCCAAUGGAUCUCAAAGAGGCAUCCGUCUACAGUGGCUUCUGGUACCGUACUUGUACUUGUACACUCCACUCUACAUGGUAUCAUCGAAGUCAUUAGUGCCAGACACACACUUUGUCUAACUACAAGACGAUACUGAACAUACAACGCAGCCGCCCUCUCAUGGAGUCCUUGGCAUCCUCCUCAUCCCCUCAAACGAAACAAUGACGCAUAGCAACGUGACUCGUCUCGUCGCCAGAGCCCACGUCAUGGUGGUCACGACAGCCAUUGUCUCAACCCAAAUCGAUGCUAUUUAUACACGUCAUUCUCUGUGAUUAAUGAUGUCUAGCAAGAGCUGCCGCCUGAAACGCUGCGAGUGCCAGCAUAUGUGCGCACAUGUGGUACUAGACAAGAAAUUGAAAACAAACAAACCGACAGUUGCCUAUGACUGCUUCGUCAUUCCGGCAACUGGACAACCCUCCCUGUGCCAUCUGGGACUUAAUCAUCGCUCACUACUUGUAGGUCCUGAAUACCAGCGUGGAGGGAACUGCGAGGAGUGAAUGACGUACUUAUCAAACAACUCAGGGAAGACAAUAGCAAAGACUUAUCUGUCUCUUCUCCGCACCAGCAUUCCCCUUGUUCGGGCCACCGGAAUCUAUUCUUCUUGUCCUCCGCGUUUUUGUUAUUUUCUGCAUGCCUGGGGCUGAUAUAUGUGGCUGGUGCUGUGGCUGGAAAAGUGGCUCCACUUUUGAGGUUGGGAGGCAUCAUCAUCAUGCAACUAUCACGUGCCGAGGUAGGGGCUAGGUCGAAGAGCUGUUCUUACCCUAACCUUUAUUUACCCAUUUGACUGCCUAAUCGGAAUUUAGACUUCUUCCUUGGGAUAUGUGGAUUCCUAGUUGGGAGAGAGGAUGCAGGGGUGGCAGCGCCGAGUAAAGGUAAUGGAAAUUGGGCGGCUACUUCACGUGACUCACCAUGACCAGCGAUGCGCAACCUAAAGUCACGUGGAGUAGAGUUCCAGAUGGUGGUAACGAAUGGAAUCUUCAUCGUCGAAACGUGCUAAAAAGGGUGAGACAGGAACGUUGGAGGAAAGAUGUCGUGGAGAAGUCGCGUUCUUCUAAACAAUUUGGUUGGGGUCAUAACCUCGUCAGAAGUCCGAUAAUAUCUACACGUCACGUGCCCCCGUUUAUCCCUGUAUUUGUUUACUUUUUUCGUGCAUACAUGUCAGCGGUUAUGAGCGGUAUUAUAUGUACAAAGUGAAUGUCGGGCCUUGCACUAGGCGCUUGACUCAUGUCACAUGUUCGGGUUGGACGUGAUUAUUCAUGUCAGGUACCUGUCACGUGAUGGGCCGACGAUACAACGUCCGGUGUUACUAUUUUGACAUCUCCACCCAUCCGGUCGUUGAUUAUCCUGUAAACAUGGGGUUCCGAAAAGACCCGAGAGGUUGCAUAAACUUGCAUAACUGCAUGCAUGGGCUUGCGUGAAAGCGUCAACAUGCAACCCUAUUGCCCUUGAACCGUGCUAACAAGGAGACAAAGCCGAGGAUGAGGAAGAAGAAAAAAAGUGCUGCAUUGAAACUAAAGCCAAAGAAGUGAAAUUUCGGUUUAAAUCGAAUAUAAUAGCAGGAAACACACAAAAU